rnacentral:rRNA from 1 species
GACGAACGCUGGCGGCGUGCCUAAUACAUGCAAGUAGAACGCUGAAGCUUGGUGCUUGCACCGAGCGGAUGAGUUGCGAACGGGUGAGUAACGCGUAGGUAACCUGCCUGGUAGCGGGGGAUAACUAUUGGAAACGAUAGCUAAUACCGCAUAACAGUAGCUAUCGCAUGAUAGCUACUUGAAAGGUGCAAAUGCACCACUACCAGAUGGACCUGCGUUGUAUUAGCUAGUUGGUGAGGUAACGGCCCACCAAGGCAACGAUACAUAGCCGACCUGAGAGGGGGGUCGGCCAAACUGGGAAUGGGACACGGCCCAGACUCCUAACGGAAGCAGCAGGAGGGGAACUUCGGGCAUGGACGGAAGUCUGACCGAGCAACGCCGGGGGGGUGAAGAAGGGUCUCGGAUCGUAAAGCUCCGUUGUAAGAGAAGAACGAGUGUGAGAGUGGAAAGUUCACACUGUGACGGUAGCUGACCAGAAAGGGACGGCUAACUACGUG